AUAGGUUUGGUCCCAGCCUUCCUGUUAACUUUCAAUAGACUUAUACAUGCAAGCAUCCACGCCCCGGUGAGUAACGCCCUUCGAAUCACAUAGGACUAAAAGGAGCAGGUAUCAAGCACACACUCUUGUAGCUCACAACGCCUUGCUUAACCACACCCCCACGGGAGACAGCAGUAACAAAAAUUAAGCCAUAAACGAAAGUUUGACUAAGCCAUAUUGACCAGGGUUGGUAAAUCUCGUGCCAGCCACCGCGGUCAUACGAUUGACCCAAGCUAACAGGAGUACGGCGUAAAGCGUGUUAAAGCAUCAUACUAAAUAGAGUUAAAUUUUAAUUAAACUGUAAAAAGCCAUAAUUAUAACAAAAAUAAAUGACGAAAGUAACCCUACAAUAGCUGAUACACCAUAGCUAAGACCCAAACUGGGAUUAGAUACCCCACUAUGCU
rnacentral:rRNA from 1 species